CCAAACUCGAUAAGCACGCUGUACCAGAUGUGCCUGGAUCCAUCCCUGCUGAAUGUCAAAUUUUCGCCCUUAUUCAUCUGACCGUCGAACACCCUAUGUCUGUCCAUUCUUUCAUUGUUGUUGCUGCGAUCAUUAUUUCCGUAGUUGUUGAAGUUGUUAUUGGAGCGCUUUUUGCAUAAAAAGCAGUAUCAAAGAGUAGAUAAACAGAAGCACAAGUAAGGCAUUAUCUUGCAUUCCUCUAUCUUUCCCUGCUCCCCACACUGUGUUCGUAAGACAGACUUUGUUAGAUGUACUCUUUGAAGUUAAAUCACUUUAACAACUUGGUCCAUGAAUGGAUGGAACUAUAGUGAUAUCCACACCAGGGCCG